UGGGGAAUCUUGCACAAUGGGCGAAAGCCUGAUGCAGCAACGCCGCGUGCGGGAAGACAGCCCUAGGGUUGUAAACCGCUUUCAGCAGGGAAGAAACUGACGGUACCUGCAGAAGAAGAUGCGGCCAACUACGUGCCAGCAGCCGCGGUGACACGUAGGCAUCAAGCGUUAUCCGGAUUUAUUGGGCGUAAAGAGCUCGUAGGCGGUUCGGUAAGUCGGGUGUGAAACUCUGGGCUCAACCCAGAGAGGCCACUCGAUACUGCUGUGACUAGAGUGCGGUAGGGGAGCGGGGAAUUCCUGGUGUAGCGGUGAAAUGCGCAGAUAUCAGGAGGAACACCAGUGGCGAAGGCGCCGCUCUGGGCCGUAACUGACGCUGAGGAGCGAAAGCAUGGGUAGCAAACAGGAUUAGAUACCCUGGUAGUCCACACCGUAAACGAUGAAUGCCAGUCGUCGGGUAGCAUGCUAUU
rnacentral:rRNA from 1 species